rnacentral:other from 1 species
GGUAUCCUCGGCUGCCCGUGGGUGGGUAUGUGUUUUGAGCCAACACUGUUUCGAUGGGAGCUUUGCUCUAACGAGUUGAGUUAUGCGGCGGGCCGCAGAUACUCACAGGCGGGCACCCACCUGCGCUUGCAGGUUCGAAACUGACCCAUUCACGGCAUGCCGAGGUAAUUU